AGUCGAGCGAGGUAGCAAUACCUAGCGGCAGACGGGUGCGUAACAUGUGGGAAUCUGCCUUUUGGUUCGGAAUAACACGAGGAAACUUGUGCUAAUACCGGAUAAGCCCUUACGGGGAAAGUUUUAAUGCCAAAAGAUGAGCCCGCACUUGAUUAGUUAGUUGGUAGGGUAAUGGCCUACCAAGACUGUGAUCAAUAGCUGAUUUGAGAGGAUGAUCAGCCACAUUGGGACUGAGACACGGCCCAAACUCC
rnacentral:rRNA from 1 species